rnacentral:rRNA from 1 species
UACGGAGCAGCAGUGGGGAAUAUUGCACAAUGGGCGCAAGCCUGAUGCAGCCAUGCCGCGUGUAUGAAAAAGGCCUUCGGGUUGUAAAGUACUUUCAGUCGUGAGGAAGGUGUUAAGGUUAAUAACCUUAGCAAUUGACGUUAGCGACAGAAGAAGCACCGGCUAACUCCGUGCCAGCAGCCGCGGUAAUACGGAGGGUGCGAGCGUUAAUCGGAAUUACUGGGCGUAAAGGGCACGCAGGCGGUUAAUUAAGUUGGAUGUGAAAUCCCCGGGCUUAACCUGGGAAUGGCAUUCAAGACUGGUUAGCUAGAGUCUUGUAGAGGGGGUAGAAUUCCAUGUGUAGCGGUGAAAUGCGUAGAGAUGUGGAGGAAUACCGGUGGCGAAGGCGGCCCCUGGACAAAGACUGACGCUCAUGUGCGAAAGCGUGGGGAGCAAACAGGGAUUAGAUACC